GGGGCAGUGCUGUGCCCUUGGGUAGUGAUUGGCCUGAAGGUACGUCCCAUCCUGUCCCCUUCUUUAAAUGGAUUAAGUAACACGCAAGUUCUUUUCGUGGUUGUUUCUUUACUCCACGAUCUGCUAGGAGUCUAGGGAGACCCAAGAACAAGCCUUAGCAGUGAAAGUGGAGGCAAAAAAAUACUCAAAUUGGAGGGACUGAAACUGAUGACAUCAGCUUGAAUAUUGAGAUGGAGCCUGAAGGGGACCUUUCUGACAUGCUGCAAGCAGCGUUGGCUACUGAUGGGAAUGCUGCCUCCACAUAUUUCCUGAUACUAAGCUUUUGCGUAAAGCCUGGAGGAACUAAGAGAAUAGAUCUGUCUAUAGCAAUCUGUAGCUCAAAAUGUCAGAAAUCCACAGUAAAUAUGUAAUGCCACCAAAGGAGGUUUUUGAAAGAUGAGUGCCCCAAAGGCUCUGAAUUAAAAGAAAUGAAAUCUUUGUAAUGCACAAUACCACAUGUGUACAACUUAGGGUAAUGUUGCCUAAAACAAGUAUGUGUAUAUGACUCACUAAGUCCCUCC
rnacentral:lncRNA from 1 species